UCCAGUGUGGCGUAGUGGUUAGAGCGUUGGACUAAGACGCUGCGAGACCCGCGUUCGAAUCCCGGCUCAGCCG